UACGAAGGGGGCUAGCGUUGCUCGGAAUCACUGGGCGUAAAGGGUGCGUAGGCGGGUCUUUAAGUCAGGGGUGAAAUCCUGGAGCUCAACUCCAGUACUGCCUUUGAUACUGAAGAUCUUGAGUUCGGGAGAGGUGAGUGGAACUGCGAGUGUAGAGGUGAAAUUCGUAGAUAUUCGCAAGAACACCAGUGGCGAAGGCGGCUCACUGGCCCGAUACUGGCGCUGAUGCACGAAAGCGUGGGGAGCAAACAGG
rnacentral:rRNA from 1 species